rnacentral:rRNA from 1 species
GUCUACGGCCAUGCCACCCUGAACACACUCAAUCUCAUCUGAUCUCGGAAGCUAAGCAGGGUUGUGCCUGGUUAGUACUUGGAUGAGAGACCACCUAGGAAUACUGGGUGCUGUAGGCU